rnacentral:rRNA from 1 species
GAUGAACGCUGGCGGCGUGCCUAAUACAUGCAAGUCGAGCGAACGGACGAGAAGCUUGCUUCUCUGAUGUUAGCGGCGGACGGGUGAGUAACACGUGGAUAACCUACCUAUAAGACUGGGAUAACUUCGGGAAACCGGAGCUAAUACCGGAUAAUAUUUUGAACCGCAUGGUUCAAAAGUGAAAGACGGUCUUGCUGUCACUUAUAGAUGGAUCCGCGCUGCAUUAGCUAGUUGGUAAGGUAACGGCUUACCAAGGCAACGAUGCAUAGCCGACCUGAGAGGGGGAUCGGCCACACUGGAACUGAGACACGGUCCAGACUCCUACGGGAGGCAGCAGUAGGGAAUCUUCCGCAAUGGGCGAAAGCCUGACGGAGCAACGCCGCGUGAGUGAUGAAGGUCUUCGGAUCGUAAAACGCUGUUAUUAGGAAGAACAUAUGUGUAAGUAACUGUGCACAUCUUGACGGUACCUAAUCAGAAAGCCACGGCUAACUACGUG